rnacentral:rRNA from 1 species
AGAGUUUGAUCGUGGCUCAGAACGAACGCUGGCGGCAUGCCUCUCACAUGCAAGUCGAACGAGACCUUCGGGUCUCUUGGCGCACGGGUGCGUCUCGCGUGGGAAUCUGCCCUUUGCUUCGGAAUCUCAGUUCUAAAUCUCUGCUCUUACCGGAUCUUGUCUUCGGACCAAAGAUUUAUCGGCGAAGGAUCUGCCCGCGUCUGAUUCUGUCUUUGGUGGGGUCUCUGCCUACCAAGCCGACGAUCCUUCUCUGGUCUCUCUGGAUCUUCAGCCACACUGGGACUGGGACACGGCCCAGACUCCUACGGGAGGCAGCAGUGGGGAAUAUUGGACAAUGGGCGCAAGCCUCUUCCAGCAAUGCCGCGUCUGUCUUCUCUGCCUUCGGGUCGUCUCUCUCUUUUACCAGGGAUCUUCUUCUCAGUACCUGGAGAAUCUGCUCCGGCUCUCUCCGUGCCAGCAGCCGCGGUCUUACGGAGGGAGCUCUCGUUGUUCGGAAUUACUGGGCGUCUCUCUUACGUCUGCGGCUAUUCAAGUCAGAGGUCUCUGCCCGGGGCUCAACCCCGGAACUGCCUUUCUCUCUCUGUCUCUCUCUUCUUGGAGAGGUCAGUGGAAUUCCGAGUGUCUCUGUCUCUUUCGUCUAUAUUCGGAAGAACACCAGUGGCGAAGGCGACUCUCUGGACAAGUAUUCUCGCUCUGGUACGAAAGCGUGGGGAGCAAACAGGAUUCUAUACCCUGGUCUUCCACGCCGUCUACGAUCUUCUCUCUUUGUUCGGUCACUUGGUCUCUCUGUCUCGCAGCUCUCGCAUUCUGUUAUCCGCCUGGGGAGUACGGUCGCAAGAUUCUCUCUCAAAGGAAUUCUCGGGGGCCUGCACAAGCGGUGGAGCAUGUGGUUUCUUUCGAAGCAACGCGCAGAACCUUACCAGCGUUUCUCAUCCCGCGCUACUUCCAGAGAUGGAAGGUUCCCUUCGGGGACGCGGUCUCAGGUGCUGCAUGGCUGUCGUCAGCUCGUGUCGUCUCUUGUUGGGUUCUGUCCCGCAACGAGCGCAACCCUCGUCCUUCUUUGCCAUCAUUCAGUUGGGCACUCUCUGGAAACCGCCGGUCUUCUGCCGGAGGAAGGUGGGGAUCUCGUCAAGUCCUCAUGGCCCUUACACGCUGGGCUACACACGUGCUACAAUGGCGGUCUCAGUGGGCAGCAGACUCGCGAGGGUCUGCUCUUCUCCAAAAGCCGUCUCAGUUCGGAUUGUUCUCUGCAACUCGAGAGCAUCUCUGCGGAAUCGCUCUUCUUCGCGGAUCAGCAUGCCGCGGUCUAUACGUUCCCAGGCCUUGUACACACCGCCCGUCACACCAUGGGAGUUGGUUUCACCCGAAGGCAGUGCGCUCUCCGCAAGGAGGCAGCUCUCCACGGUGGGAUCAGCGACUGGGGUGAAGUCGUAACAAGG